rnacentral:rRNA from 1 species
CCUACGGGAGGCAGCAGUGGGGAAUAUUGCGCAAUGGGCGAAAGCCUGACGCAGCGACGCCGCGUGAGGGAUGAAGGUCUUCGGAUCGUAAACCUCUGUCAGCAGGGAAGAACGGUCACUGUGCUAAUCAGCAGUGAAUUGACGGUACCUGCAAAGGAAGCACCGGCUAACUCCGUGCCAGCAGCCGCGGUAAUACGGAGGGUGCGAGCGUUAAUCGGAAUUACUGGGCGGAAAGCGCUCGUAGGCGGUAUGUCAAGUCAAGGGUGAAAUCCCCGCGCUCAACGUGGGAAUUGCCUUUGAAACUGGCAAGCUAGAGUGUGUGAGAGGAAAGUGGAAUUCCAGGUGUAGGAGUGAAAUCCGUAGAUAUCUGGAGGAACAUCAGUGGCGAAGGCGACUGUCUGGCACAUAACUGACGCUGAGGAGCGAAAGCGUGGGUAGCAAACAGGAUUAGAUACCCGGGUAGUC